GUGACCAAUGACUUUGUCAUGCUGAAAGGCUGUGUGGUGGGAACCAAGAAGCGGGUGCUCACCCUCCGCAAGGUGAGGCAGGUCCUGACUCGUCAUGGGGGGGCUCUUGUAGAGGGAGGAUCUAAGGCCACAGACGCUGGUGGCCGUGUGGUGGGAGAGGAGAGGAAGGAGAGGGUGUUGGCAGUCCCUUCACACUGGCUUUGAAGUCCUGAGAUGAGGAAAUUCCCAGUCUGGCCUUGCUGGGCUGUUUGCUGCUUUGAGUGUGUCCUCAUCUGCCGGAUGGUGGGGGAGGCUGAAUUGAUCGUGUGGCUUCCCAGAUGCAGGGGCGCUGUGAACAGUGCUGAGGAAAGCCUGGCUCCUCGUAAUCCUAAAUCCCUUCCCCUCUUGGCCCACAGUCCUUGCUGGUGCAGACGAAGCGGCGGGCUCUGGAGAAGAUUGACCUUAAGUUCAUUGACACCACCUCCAAGUUUGGCCAUGGCCGCUUCCAGACCAUGGAGGAGAAGAAAGCAUUCAUGGGACCACUCAAGAAAGACCGAAUUGCAAAGGAAGAAGGAGCUUAAUGCCAGGAACAGAUUUUGCAGUUGGUGGGGUCUCAAUAAAAGUUAUUUUCCACUGA
rnacentral:sRNA from 1 species